rnacentral:rRNA from 1 species
AUUGAACGCUGGCGGCAGGCUUAACACAUGCAAGUCGAGCGGGGAAGGGUAGCUUGCUACCUAACCUAGCGGCGGACGGGUGAGUAAUGCUUAGGAAUCUGCCUAUUAGUGGGGGACAACAUUCCGAAAGGAAUGCUAAUACCGCAUACGCCCUACGGGGGAAAGCAGGGGAUCUUCGGACCUUGCGCUAAUAGAUGAGCCUAAGUCGGAUUAGCUAGUUGGUGGGUAAAGGCCUACCAAGGCGACGAUCUGUAGCGGGUCUGAGAGGAUGAUCCGCCACACUGGGACUGAGACACGGCCCAGACUCCUACGGGAGGCAGCAGUGGGGAAUAUUGGACAGUGGGGGGAACCCUGAUCCAGCCAUGCCGCGUGUGUGAAGAAGGCCUUUUGGUUGUAAAGCACUUUAAGCGAGGAGGAGGCUACCGAGAUUAAUACUCCUGGAUAGUGGACGUUACUCGCAGAAUAAGCACCGGCUAACUCUGUGCCAGCCGCCGCGGUAAUAC